UUAAUCAAUAUCUAAGUGGACCAUGAGU
rnacentral:piRNA from 1 species